GAAAAAGUGACCGAGAAUAAGUGAGGUGUUGUAAGCACCUUGAUGGGAAGAGCUUCCCCUUUUUCA
rnacentral:tRNA from 1 species